GGAACAUCAAUCUUUACCCAUGAUGCUUUUCGUUUGCCUUGGACACUCGACUGUCACCGAAUCAUGCUAGCGCUGUCACAUGCUGUCACAAGCUACCACACAUUGCUGUCAAACAUUUGCCCCUUCCGUCUCCCACGAUGCCUUUUGGUUGUCACUCAUCGUUCUCUUCGCAUAGUCGCCCUACGCCAAAGUGUGUUUGACCUGCAAAUGUCAUGAGGACAUCACAGUUCUCUGUGGGCACCGUCUUCAUCCAAGACUUAUGAGACAUGACGUGUCUCCCAGCCUGCAGCAGCUUCU